rnacentral:rRNA from 1 species
AGUGAACGCUGGCGGCGUGCUUAACACAUGCAAGUCGAACGAGAACGGGUUAUAGCUUGCUAUAAUUGUCAGCUAAGUGGCGCACGGGUGAGUAAUGUAUAGGUAAUAUGCCUCUUACUAAGGGCUAACAAAUGGAAACGUUUGCUAAUACCUUAUACUCCUUAUUAACAGAAGUUAAUAAGGGAAAGAUUUAUUGGUAAGAGAUUAGCCUGUAUUGUAUCAGUUAGUUGGUGGGGUAAUGGCUUACCAAGACUAUGACACAUAACUGGGUUGAGAGGAGGAUCAGUCACACUGGAACUGAGACACGGUCCAGACUCCUACGGGAGGCAGCAGUGGGGAAUAUUGCACAAUGGACGAAAGUCUGAUGCAGCAACGACGCGUGGGGGAUGACACAUUUCGGUGCGUAAACUCCUUUUAUAUGAGAAGAUAAUGACGGUAUUAUAUGAAUAAGCACCGGCUAACUCCGUGCCAGCAGCCGCCGUAA